GGCUUGGUAGCUUAGUUGGAAAAGCACUUGUCUAGCGAAUAAGGGUCGUGAGUUCAUAUCUCACCUGAGCUG
rnacentral:tRNA from 1 species